rnacentral:lncRNA from 1 species
UGUUCCCUCUACAUUGGUUUUCCGCUUCUCCUGUUGAUAAUCAAAGAAGCACAUUUUCUUACAACAUUAUAGUAAGGGAGGUACGCUCAUUAGGAGCACCAAUCUGGAGAUGACAAAGAAUUCAAUGGAAGCCAGAAUUCAAUGGAAGCCGAGCAGCCAGCCAGCAGCCCUGCACCGCCUGGCUGUGUGACUUGUUGGCAGGGAGAUGACUAACACGUGGGCAGGAGGGCUGAACCGGGAGCCAGGCCUGGACCCCACGGAGAGCCUGCAGGAGGUCUCGGGAGAGUCUAAAGCUCUCAUAAGAGAGGAGUUUAAUAAGAUAACUCGGCUUUUAAGUAACAGAGGCAGCCUCCUGGCUUCUGGGCUUCGAAAGGGCUCACCCGCCAGGAGUAAUAACACAAGCAAUUACUGCACCUAGAAUAAUAGAGCUCAGCGGGAUCCGAGGACCCAGGUCUCCCCUCUCAUUCACCUACUCACAGGGGAAAGGAAUGCAAGGAAGAAAUGCCCCACUUUCCAUGAAGACCUGGGACAGUCCUAUUAGGCCUUUAGGCACGUUGCCUUCAACUGGUACCUUGACUGCAGGUUGCUUGCAGCUGCCUUCAGGAACAUCUGAGUAUACCCACCUGGACCUACUCACUUCAGCUGUCUUUUAUCUCCCCCGUUUUAUUUCUCUGCCUCUGUCAAGACUUGUCACUUUCACCAUUUCCCCAGAAAAGAGGUUUAAAGCAAAGAAACUGACCUGAAAUAUGACAUGAUUUUUCCAACCCAUCCAUUCUCCAAGAAAAGCUUCAGUGUUUCACUUCAUGAGUUCCCCCUUCCACCAUAAAACAUGGUAACCUGCCUCUAUUAAACAGCAUUUCAAUGAGACAGACCCCUAAUAUCUCAACAGCCUAAAAAGCUUUACUCAGAAUCAGGUGCAAAGCCUGGUCUCAAACCGACGCUGCCUGUGCUUCAUAGAAGCCAGGAGACACCCCACACCUUAGGCCAUCCUCCCAGCGACUUAUGGAAUCAUCUACCCUGAGUUUAUUUUGUCCUCUCUGAACUAUGCCAAUCCAGUAUUUCCCCCAGACCUGACCUUUCUUAACCAAAUCCACUAAACAUACGUUUUAUCACUCAAAUUGCGACACUUUGAGAGUGAAAAUAGGGUGUUACUGACAGUCAUGCCAAGACAACAGCCUUGAGCAAACUGGGAUGUAAGUUGCCCUGUCCUUACAAAGGAGAGAGGCCAGGUAAG